UACGUAGGGUGCUAGCGUUGUCCGGAAUCAUUGGGCGUAAAGCGCGUGUAGGCGGCCCGGUAAGUCCGCUGUGAAAGUCGGGGGCUCAACCCUCGGAUGCCGGUGGAUACUGUCGGGCUCGAGUACGGAAGAGGCGAGUGGAAUUCCUGGUGUAGCGGUGAAAUGCGCAGAUAUCAGGAGGAACACCGAUGGCGAAGGCAGCUCGCUGGGACGGUACUGACGCUGAGGCGCGAAAGCGUGGGGAGCGAACAGG
rnacentral:rRNA from 1 species